CAGCACCUCAAGUGGUCAGGAUGAUUAUUGGGCCUAAAGCAUCCGUAGCCGGCUCUGUAAGUUUUCGGUUAAAUCUGUACGCUCAACGUACAGGCUGCCGGGAAUACUGCAGAGCUAGGGAGUGGGAGAGGUAGACGGUACUCGGUAGGAAGGAGUAAAAUCCUUUGAUCUAUUGAUGACCACCUGUGGCGAAGGCGGUCUACCAGAACACGUCCGACGGUGAGGGAUGAAAGCUGGGGGAGCAAACCGGAUUAGAUACCCGAGUAGUCC
rnacentral:rRNA from 1 species